AUUGAACGCUGGCGGAAUGCUUUACACAUGCAAGUCGAGCGGCAGCGCGGGGGCAACCCUGGCGGCGAGCGGCGAACGGGUGAGUAACACGUCGGAACGUACCCUAUCGUGGGGGAUAACGAAUCGAAAGAUUCGCUAAUACCGCAUACGACCUGAGGGUGAAAGCGGGGGAUCGUAAGACCUCGCGCGAUUGGAGCGGCCGGUGUCGGAUUAGCUAGUUGGUAGGGUAAAGGACUACCAAGGCGACGAUCCGUAGCUGGUCUGAGAGGACGACCAGCCACACUGGAACUGAGACACGGUCCAGACUCCUACGGGAGGCAGCAGUGGGGAAUUUUGGACAAUGGGGGCAACCCUGAUCCAGCCAUUCCGCGUGAGUGAAGAAGGCCUUCGGGUUGUAAAGCUCUUUCGGCAGGAACGAAAAGGCGGGCUCUAACAUAGCCUGUCAAUGACGGUACCAGAAGAAGAAGCACCGGCUAACUACGUGCCAGCCGCCGCCGUAAUAC
rnacentral:rRNA from 1 species